AAGAGGCAAAAUUCAUAUAUUUUUGUUAUGCUUCUGUUAUUUCAUCUUUAAAUUGGAGAAAAAGCUGUUUAAAAUACUAGUUUUGCAAUAUAUACUUGGGAAGCUAGAUGUGGUAUAAAGCCAGGUUUCUCAAACCUGGCUUUAUUGAUAUUUGGGAUGGGUAAUUCUUUGUUAUAGAGGCUGUUGUUAUACACCGUCAGUGUUUAACAGCAUCCCUGGUCUCUACGCACCAGAUGACGAUAGCAUCACUCACUACCCCCUCCGAGUUGACAAUCACAGAUGUCUUCAGACAUUGCCAGUGGCCCCUGCUAUGCAAUGUCAUCCUCUGGUUGAGAACCGCUGGCACAGAAGAAAGAAACUCUGGCUUAGAAUGGGAGGGCUUCUUAAGUUUAUUUCUGCCACUCACUAGCUCCCUGAUCCUGGGUAACCGAGGCCAUGGAGGCUCCAGUUUCCUCAUCUAUAAAACUGAAAUAAUAACCACUAUUCAGAGCAUUCAGAAAUUCAUGUACACAACACGUUCACUUUUUAAGCUGUAAGGCACUGUGCAUAUGGAAGUUAAACUCCUCAGGUUGCCAUUUAUUUUCUAUGUUGUGCACAAAAAAUGCUUUUAACAUAAGAAUGUGUACUUCGUGAUUUUCUUAUCCUCAUGAUUGAGGGAUGCUUCAUAGAUCAUCUUGGGCUGUCAGGUUCGUGUGGGAUACCUUCCUGCUUGACUUUCAUCCCCUCCCUUUUGAUGCCUGUGCCUGUCUUCAUAUUUCUCCCACCUGCUGGAUCUUGUCUUUGGUACCCAGAAUACCUUGAAGGUUUUCUACCCUUCACUCAUCUGAACCUUUCUUGCUCAAUCUAAAGGAACGUGUUUCCCCUCCUGCAAAAGCAUCAAACCUCAUUCCCUUCAGGUUUGGCUCCCGGCCACUGAAAGUGCUAGAUAGUAAUGUGAUGAACAGGUUGAAAGCUAAGACGGCGAGGCUGAUUGGCUUCUACAUCUCUCGAGCAUCAUCUCUCCACAGUUCCACUCCAUUUACCCUUACCAACGUUACAAUUGCUUUGUGUCCUUGUCAGUACUUGACGUUACCAUUCUCUUCAGUUUCAGCAAUUCCGGUAGGUCUGUGUUGGUAUUUCAUUUUGGUUUUAAGAAGGCAUUCUCAGAGGUGUGUUCCCUGACCUAAAGAAAAGAGUAAUCCCUCGUUACAGGAUAUGUUGAGAGACUAUAGCAUCGUGGACUUUCAGGAGACAGGAGGACACAUUUUUUGUGAACUUGCUACGUGUUAAACACAACAUGAGACAUUCCACCCAAAUGAUUACAUUUACUGCUUCCAACUGUUCUAUACAUGAAGCUUCACUUUUCCCCCUUUAUGGAUUAAAAAAACAGACUUUGGAAAUAUUUAAUAAUUUACCCCAAAUCUCAUAUUUAUGAAGUUUUGGCUCACGGCAUAUCAUGCAGAUGACUGCAGGUUCCUUCUCACAUUGGCACUGAUAUGGGGAAUUGCCUGUUUCUAUCGCAGAGAGAGAAUAAAAUGCUGCCUGUGGAGAGAGGAGAAGUUCAGGGCAUUUCGAAGCCAUGUUGGGCUUUGUGUGGGAAAGGCAAGAAUUGGACCUGGCUGUCAAUGUGCUCGGGGCACUUCUGGGCACACCUGUCCACGUUCCUUUGCAAAAACGCACACUCUGACCGGAUGAGAAGACAGAGCCAUGCAGAGGGUCAGACAUCUUGCCCAAGGACUGAGCUGGAAACCCAGGCAUGUGAGGCACAUGAAACACCACGUGUGUUACGCAGCCUUCUGUGAGUAUGAAAUGUGGUUUUACAGACGGGUCUUCAGGGAUCAUGAGCGUGGGGCUGGAUGGUGUGAUUUCAGACCCUGGGCUCAGGGAGACUCUGUGAUGAAGCCUUGCCUGCCAGCUUUCACGCGCUUUCCUUGUAACUUCUAACUGAACCAGAUAAAGCAGCCACAUUCUCUACUUCCUCUCCUCUCUGCUCUUCCCACUUUCUUCUCUUCUUAGUUUUUGGAUGGAAACGGCAUUAUGGUUCAUGCACCUUUCUGUAGUGCAGAUAAAUCAGCUGGCCCUACCCAGAAAGCACUGCUCCACUGUGAGCCCGACUAUUCCUUUUGUUACAAAUGAAACAUUUUGAACAUACUCUGGGUUAUUGAUGCCCAUGUACCCAGUGCUGAGAUUUUUAACACAUGUGAAUAUUCUGCAGUAUUUGCCCUACAACUUUUAAAUUAAGAAAUGAGAUGUUUCAGGUUAGGUUGAGAGUAUACCAUCCACCCCAGAUCAACUUCACAAAACAAAACUUCUGAUUUCCCACCAAAUAUGUUCAUGCCUCAGACUCCUCCCUGUCAGUAAAAGGUGUUCACAUUCCCCCACCUGCUUAGCAUGAAGGAUCUUUCCCUGACUCCCGUCUUUCCUUCAUGCCGCACCCCUGCAGUGCAUCAAUUGAUCCACGAUUUCUCCCAAAUACACAGUCUCCCUGUAUCAUCAUCUCCCUCCCAGGCUUUGGUGAUCAUCUCCCAGAUGGUCCCCCUGUUUCCCCCCAUCUUCUACAGUCAGUCUGUCACACCACAACCCAGUGAUUCCUAAAGAGCAAGUUAUAUCCAGUCACUGCCAGCUGUGGACUGAAACAUUUGUGUCCCUAAAAUUCCUGUUAAAACCUAAUCCCCAGAGCGAGGUAGUAGGAGGCAGGGCCUUUGGGAAAGGCCUGGGCAGAGCCCAGGCACGAGGCCAGGCUCGAGGCCAGGCUUCGAGCCCAGGCUCGAAGGCACGAGGGCAGAGCCUUCACUAAUGGGAUUAGGGCCCUAAUGAGAGAACCCACGGAGCUCCCUAGCUCCUUCCCCCACGUGAGGACACAUCGAGAAGAUGGCCAUCUGGAAAGUGGGUUCUCACCAGACCCUGAAUCUGCUUGCACCUUGAUCUUGGACUUCCGGCCUCCAGAACUGUGAGAAACAAAUGUCUGUUGUUUAUAAGACGCCGAGUCUGUGGUAUUCUAUUAUAGUAGCCUGAACGGACUGAGACACUCCUCAUAUCGUGUUCAGAAAUGAUCCACAUUUGUCAUGGUGGCUACCAGGGGCCAACACCAUCUGGGCUAUUGGUCUGUCUGGCCUCUUGCCUCCCUCCAGCUCUGGCCUGUCUGCUGCUCCUUGAGCACGUCAAGCUCAUUCCUGCUCUGGGCUCUUCUUUCCGGAGAGCUUGUUCCCCAGAUCUUCACUGGCUCCUUCCCUUCCUUCCCUCAGAUCCCCACUCAAGGGCAUGUCCUCUGGGAGAUAUUCCCACACAGAUUCCCUGCAUCAGUCCACUGCAUUCUCUCCUUCUGCUCCAUUUUUCCCAUUGUGUUUAUAAACAACUGAGAUCAUUACAUAUUCAUUGGUUUGUCUCUCUCACAUCCCUGGACUCGGAAUAUAAACUUCGUAAAUUUGUCUUGUUCUUCACAGCAUCCCUCAUACCUAUGUGUCUGGCACAGAGUACAUCCUUAAUACGCACUUAUUGAAUGGGUGACCAGAUCUCAUUAGCUUGCUUUCCUCCAAAAGUGGCUACUAUUUUUAAGUUGAUUGGUUUUAAGCCUACUUCCACAUUGCUAUAUUUAUCACAUAUUUAUGUACCCAUGUAGAUUUCGUGUAAACCUGAGUGCAAAAUUUUCACACAAAUGACAUCAUAUUGUACAUAUUGCUUUGCAACUUGACUUUUCUUUUCUGAUCCCAAAAUGUCUUUAGGAUUAAUCCAUGUUGACCCUUGUAGGUUUAGUUAUACAACAUAACUGUUGUAUAGUGUUCCACUGAAUGAAUAAAUGGUUUAUUUAUCCAUCCCCCUA